rnacentral:misc_RNA from 1 species
ACCUAUUCUAGAGAAAGAAGCUAAAGGUGAUGAGAAUGAGCACGCCAAUCUUGACGAAUCUUAGGGCAAGUAGAAGAUCAAACUCUCGAAUUCCUAGUGAAUCAAAAAGCCUUUCAAUUGUUAUUUUCAUUGAUUUUAUCCAUUCUAAUAUUUCCAAAGAGGUGAAGAAACAAACAACGUUGUUUUCUUGUUCUACAUCAUAAGUCCAAGUAAGCAAACAUAAUAAUUGCCC